rnacentral:rRNA from 1 species
AUUGAACGCUGGCGGCAUGCCUUACACAUGCAAGUCGAACGGUAACAGGUUAAGCUGACGAGUGGCGAACGGGUGAGUAAUACAUCGGAACGUGCCCAGACGUGGGGGAUAGCUCGGCGAAAGCCGGAUUAAUACCGCAUAAGCUCUGAGGAGGAAAGCGGGGGACCGUAAGGCCUCGCGCGUUUGGAGCGGCCGAUGGAAGAUUAGGUAGUUGGGGGGGUAAAGGCUUACCAAGCCUACGAUCUGUAGCUGGUCUGAGAGGCCGACCAGCCACACUGGGACUGAGACACGGCCCAGACUCCUACGGGAGGCAGCAGUGGGGAAUUUUGGACAAUGGGCGAAAGCCUGAUCCAGCAAUGCCGCGUGCAGGAUGAAGGCCUUCGGGUUGUAAACUGCUUUUGUACGGAACGAAAAGGCGCCUACUAAUACUGGGUGUUGAUGACGGUACCGUAAGAAUAAGCACCGGCUAACUACGUGCCAGCCGCCGCCGUAACAC